rnacentral:rRNA from 1 species
UAACGGAGUAUUUGAUUGUGCUGUCUGAGCUGGCCAUGUGUCAGAUUUAGUAAAGUAAAAACUUUCAACAACGGAUCUCUUGGCUCUCGCAUCGAUGAAGAACGCAGCGAAAUGCGAUAGGUAAUGUGAAUUGCAGAAUUCAGUGAAUCAUCGAAUCUUUGAACGCACAUUGCGCCCUUUGGUAUUCCUUAGGGCAUGCCUGUUCGAGCGUCACUACACACCUUAUCACAAAGUUUGUGGUCUUGGCAGGAGUGAAUUGCUAGUCUAUCAAAAUGUUCCAGCUGUACACUCUGCUAAAAAUUAUGAGAAGGUUACCAGGCAUGAACGACGGACUUUAUAAACGGUUAUAAGACCUGGAUCAGUCACAAGUCUUGUCUGGUCCUUACCUUAAGGACCCCCAUCCUAGAUGAACUAUGGGUUGACCUCGAAUCAGGGAGGGAUACCCGCUGAACUUAAGCAUAUCAAUAAGCGGAGGAAAAGAAACCAACAGGGAUUGCCCUAGUAACGGCGAGUGAAGCGGCAAAAGCUCAAAUUUGAAAUCUGGCACCUUUGGUGUCCGAAUUGUAAUUUGGAGAGGCAACUUCGGGUAGGACCCAGUCUAUGUUCCUUGGAACAGGACGUCAUAGAGGGUGAGAAUCCCGUUCAUGACUGGAUGUUCCUACUAGUACGUAGUGCCUUCUACGAGUCGAGUUGUUUGGGAAUGCAGCUCAAAAUGGGUGGUAAAUUUCAUCUAAAGCUAAAUAUUGGCGAGAGACCGAUAGCGCACAAGUAGAGUGAUCGAAAGAUGAAAAGCACUUUGAAAAUAGAGUCAAAAAGUACGUGAAAUUGUUGAAAGGGAAGCGCUUGAGACCAGACUCAGCCUUUGGUAAACAAGUGUCCUUCUGG